rnacentral:rRNA from 1 species
UGGGGGAUAUUGCACAAUGGGCGAAAGCCUGAUGCAGCGACGCCGCGAGGGGGAUGAAGGCCUUCGGGUUGUAAACUUCUUUUGCUCUGAACAAGGCGCACCAUGGGGUGUGUUGAGUGUAGGGGUUGAUUAGCGCCGGCUAACUACGUGCCAGCAGCCGCGGUAAUACGUAGGGCGCGAGCGUUGUCCGGAAUUAUUGGGCGUAAAGGGCUUGUAGGUGGCUGGUUGCGUCUGUCGUGAAAGCUCAUGGCUUAACUGUGGGUUUGCGGUGGGUACGGGCUGGCUUGAGUGCAGUAGGGGAGGCUGGAAUUCCUGGUGUAGCGGUGGAAUGCGCAGAUAUCAGGAGGAAUACCGGUGGCGAAGGCGGGUCUCUGGGCUGUUACUGACACUGAGGAGCGAAAGCAUGGGGAGCGAACAGG